rnacentral:rRNA from 1 species
GACGAACGCUGGCGGCGUGCUUAACACAUGCAAGUCGAACGGAAAGGCCCUGCUUUUGUGGGGUGCUCGAGUGGCGAACGGGUGAGUAACACGUGAGUAACCUGCCCUUGACUUUGGGAUAACUUCAGGAAACUGGGGCUAAUACCGGAUAGUAGCUCCUGCUGCAUGGUGGGGGUUGGAAAGUUUCGGCGGUUGGGGCUGGAAUCGCGGCUUAUCAGCUUGUUGGGGGGGUAGUGGCUUACCAAGGCUUUGACGGGUAGCCGGCCUGAGAGGGUGACCGGCGACCUUGGGACUGAGAGACGGCCCAGACUCCUACGGGAGGCAGCAGUGGGGAAUAUUGCACAAUGGGCGGAAGCGUGAUGCAGCAACGCCGCGUGCGGGAUGACGGCCUUCGGGUUGUAAACCGCUUUCGCCUGUGACGAAGCGUGAGUGACGGUAAUGGGUAAAGAAGCACCGGCUAACUACGUG